AAGAUCGAAUGGGGAGAUUCAUCGUCAGCGAUACGGGUACGUGUGCGGUUCGCGAUGCUUCGGUACCUCGGUAUCGUGGCACGCGUCCGCAUGGUUUUUAUUGCCUGUUGUCGUCGGCGUGCACUUCUCCCCUAGUAGGACGUCGCGACCCGUUGGGUGUCGGUCUACGGCCCGGGAUGAUGCCUGUCUCGCGACGCGUUUUAUCGCGCGUCAUGGGGCAGACCCCCGGUUGUCUGGCCGGCUGCCCGGCGGUACUCGCACGGUAUCGGGCCGCAGAUAUUAAAACUGCGUCCGGCCCGCCGCAAGCGCGGUCAGUGUAUACCCGGAUGUACGGACCUAGCGCCGUCACCGGGCCUGACCAGCUGUUGGUUUGGCGGUGUUCUGGGACUGGCUCUGUAAUAAAAUUAUGAUACCGGUCGGCGACGCUACUGCUUUGGGUACUUUCAGGACCCGUCUUGAAACACGGACCAAGGAGUCUAACAUGUGCGCGAGUCAUUGGGAUCUAUGAAGCCUAAAGGCGCAAUGAAAGUGAAGGUCGGCCUUGCGCCGACCGAGGGAGGAUGGGCCGCGUCACGAUGCGGUCCCGCACUCCCGGGGCGUCUCGUUCUCAUUGCGAGAAGAGGCGCACCCAGAGCGUACACGUUGGGACC
rnacentral:rRNA from 1 species